AUUGAACGCUGGCGGCAUGCCUUACACAUGCAAGUCGAACGGUAACGGGCCUUCGGGUGCCGACGAGUGGCGCACGGGUGAGUAAUACAUCGGAACGUGCCCGAUCGUGGGGGAUAACGAGGCGAAAGCUUUGCUAAUCCCGCAUACGAUCUACGUAUGACAGCCGGGGACCGCAAGGCCUUGCGCGGACGGAGCGGCCGAUGGCAGAUUAGGUAGUUGGUGGGAUAAAAGCUUACCAAGCCGACGAUCUGUAGCUGGUCUGAGAGGAUGAUCAGCCACACUGGGACUGAGACACGGCCCAGACUCCUACGGGAGGCAGCAGUGGGGAAUUUUGGACAAUGGGCGCAAGCCUGAUCCAGCCAUGCCGCGUGCAGGAUGAAGGCCUUCGGGUUGUAAACUGCUUUUGUACGGAACGAAAAGCCUUCUUUUAAUACAGGAGGGUCAUGACGGUACCGUAGGAAUAAGCACCGGCUAACUACGUG
rnacentral:rRNA from 1 species